UACGAAGGGUGCAAGCGUUGUUCGGAAUUAUUGGGCGUAAAGGGUUCGUAGGCGGGAAAUUAAGUCAUAUGUGAAAUCCCCGAGCUUAACUUGGGACGUGCAUAUGAAACUGGUAUUCUUGAGUAUCGGAGAGGAUGGUGGAAUUGCUGGUGUAGGAGUGACAUCCGUAGAGAUCAGCAGGAACAUCGGAGGCGAAGGCGACCAUCUGGCCGAUUACUGACGCUGAGGAACGAAAGCGUGGGGAGCAAACAGG
rnacentral:rRNA from 1 species